rnacentral:rRNA from 1 species
CGGGUGCACUGAUCCGGCCGGGCCUUUCCCUCUGUGGAACCCCAUGGCCUUCACUGGCUGUGCGGGGGAAACAGGACUUUUACUGUGAAAAAAUUAGAGUGCUCCAGGCAGGCCUAUGCUCGAAUACAUUAGCAUGGAAUAAUAGAAUAGGACGCGUGGUUCUAUUUUGUUGGUUUCUAGGACCGCCGUAAUGAUUAAUAGGGACAGUCGGGGGCAUCAGUAUUCAAUUGUCAGAGGUGAAAUUCUUGGAUCUAUUGAAGACUAACUACUGCGAAAGCAUUUGCCAAGGAUGUUUUCAUUGAUAAGGAACGAAAGUUAGGGGAUCGAAGACGAUCAGAUACCGUUGUAGUCUUAACUAUAAACUAUGCCGACUAGGGAUCGGACGAUGUUAUUUCUUGACGCGUUCGGCACCUUUCGAGAAAUCAAAGUGCUUGGGCUCCAUGGGGAGUAUGGUCGCAAGGCUGAAACUUAAAGAAAUUGACGGAAGGGCACCACCAGGGGUGGAACCUGCGGCUUAAUUUGACUCAACACGGGGAAACUCACCAGGUCCAGACACAGUGAGGAUUGACAGAUUGAGAGCUCUUUCUUGAUUCUGUGGGUGGUGGUGCAUGGCCGUUCUUAGUUGGUGGAGUGAUUUGUCUGCUUAAUUGCGAUAACGAACGAGACCUUAACCUGCUAAAUAGCCCGUACUCCUCUGGCAGUUCGCCGGCUUCUUAGAGGGACUAUCGG